rnacentral:rRNA from 1 species
AUGAACGCUGGCGGCAUGCCUAACACAUGCAAGUCGAUCGGUAAGGCUCUUCGGAGUACACGAGAGGCGGACGGCUGAGUAACGCGUAGGAACACACCCUGCAGUGAGGGAUAAGACACCGAAAGGUGUUCUAAUACCGCAUACGGUCUUCGGAUUAAAGCAUUUAUGCGCUGAAGGAGUGGCCUGCGUCAUAUUAGAUAGUUGGUGAGGUAAUGGCUCACCAAGUCGAUGAUGUGUAGCUGGUCUGAGGGGAUGAUCAGCCAGACUGGAACUGAGACACGGUCCAGACUCCUACGGGAGGCAGCAGUGAGGAAUAUUUCACAAUGAGCGAAAGCUUGAUGGAGCAAUGCCGCGUGCAGGAUGAAGGCCCUCGGGUUGUAAACUGCUUUUAUAAGAGAAGAUUAUGACGGUAACUUAUGAAUAAGGGACGGCUAACUACGUG